GUAACGGCGAGUGAAGCGGGAAGAGCUCAUGUUGUGAAUCUGGCCCUCGGGCCCGAACUGUACACUGGAGAGGCGAGGCCAGCCGCUGUCCGCGGCCAAGUCUGAUUGGAAAUGAGCAUCAAGGAGGGUGACAAUCCCGUCCAUGCCGCGGUAUCGAUCAGCGCGCGUCCGGCCCGCUUUCGACGAGUCGAGUUGCUUGGGAUUGCAGCUCAAAGAGGGUGGUAAACUCCAUCCAAAGCUAAACACGGGGGGGAGACCGAUAGCGAACAAGUACCGUGAGGGAAAGAUGCAAAGAACUUUGAAAAGAGAGUUAAAGAGUGCCUGAAAUUGCUGGAAGGGAAGCGAAGGAAAGAAGUGUGCGGUUGCCCGGGCGCCAACCCCUACCUGUCGCAGGUGGGGGUAGGCCGCCCGGCCGCGGUCAGGGGUCGCGCCGGGCUCGGGGGAAGAGCCGUCGGGGAUCGGUAGGCGUCGCUUCGGCGGGGCGCUGUCAGGCCCCGGCGGCUGUUGCCCUGGGCCCGGCCCCCUUCUGGCGGUCGCGGCUUUUCUUCACCCCGUCUUGAAACACGGACCAAGGAGUCUAGCGUGGACGCGAGUAGAGGGGUGUGGAAACCCCCUUGCGCAAUGAAGGUGAACGCCGGUGGGAGGGCCAGCACCAUCGACCGAKCGUGCUCCUCCGGGGGCAAGGCUUGAGUGUGAGCGUGCAUGCUGGGACCCRAAAGAUGGUGAACUAUGCCUGAAUAGGGCGAAGCCAGGGGAAACUCUGGUGGAGGCUCGUARCGAUUCUGACGUGCAAAUCGAUCGUGAGAUUUGGGUAUAGGGGCGAAAGACUAAUCGA
rnacentral:rRNA from 1 species